rnacentral:rRNA from 1 species
GAUGAACGCUGGCGGCGUGCUUAACACAUGCAAGUCGAACGAUGAAGCCCAGCUUGCUGGGUGGAUUAGUGGCGAACGGGUGAGUAACACGUGAGUAACCUGCCCUUAACUCUGGGAUAAGCCUGGGAAACUGGGUCUAAUACCGGAUAGGAGCGUCCACCGCAUGGUGGGUGUUGGAAAGAUUUAUCGGUUUUGGAUGGACUCGCGGCCUAUCAGCUUGUUGGUGAGGUAAUGGCUCACCAAGGCGACGACGGGUAGCCGGCCUGAGAGGGUGACCGGCCACACUGGGACUGAGACACGGCCCAGACUCCUACGGGAGGCAGCAGUGGGGAAUAUUGCACAAUGGGCGCAAGCCUGAUGCAGCGACGCCGCGUGAGGGAUGACGGCCUUCGGGUUGUAAACCUCUUUCAGCAGGGAAGAAGCGAAAGUGACGGUACCUGCAGAAGAAGCACCGGCUAACUACGUG